rnacentral:rRNA from 1 species
UACGUAGGCAGCAAGCGUUGUUCGGAGUUACUGGGCGUAAAGGGUGCGUAGGUGGCUCUAUAAGUAUGGUGUGAAAUCUCCCGGCUUAACUGGGAGGGUGCGCCGUAGACUGUGGGGCUAGAGUGUGGGAGAGGAAAGUGGAAUUCCUGGUGUAGCGGUGAAAUGCGUAGAUAUCAGGAGGAACACCGGUGGUGUAAACGGCUUUUCUGG